rnacentral:rRNA from 1 species
UACCAGCACCCCGAGUGGUCGGACGUUUAUUGGGCCUAAAGCAUCCGUAGCCGGUUCUACAAGUCUUCCGUUAAAUCCACCUGCUUAACAGAUGGGCUGCGGAAGAUACUAUGGAGCUAGGAGGCGGGAGAGGCAAGCGGUACUCGAUGGGUAGGGGUAAAAUCCGUUGAUCCAUUGAAGACCACCAGUGGCGAAGGCGGCUUGCCAGAACGCGCUCGACGGUGAGGGAUGAAAGCUGGGGGAGCAAACCGG